rnacentral:lncRNA from 1 species
GCUGGGAAAUAGAGUUUAGCCAUUGGAAAUUGAAGGGAAGCUUCCUAAAGGGAUUUGGGUUUGUAUUUAUGUAGACAGAGCCCGGGAUGGGACCCGGGGGGUGGCCAUGGGUUUUAUGUGGUCCAGCGUUGAACGAAGGGUUUUCCAUAUCUAAACCUGAUGUGGUCUUCCAGUUAGAACAAGGCAAAGAGCUGUGGAUUCUUAAUCUGCCAAGAAUUAAAGAACAACAGUUGCCAAAAAAUUCUUCAGACUGGGAGAGCCAACCUGAACAUCCACAAGUCAUCUCCAAAGUUAAACAUUUCUGAAGAAA